CACAUCCUUCCUAGAACAACCCAGCCCACAGGAAGGAGUAACAAUGGCUUCCACCCUUGAGAUCACUCUUCCCCUCCUGGGAAGGAAGUGUGAGAUUUGUUGGCCUGGACAGAAUCUGAGAACAUUGAUGUUCUGUCUACUCUGGAUGCACAAGCAGAGACUGUGUGCCUCACAAGAUGAUAAGAGCAGCCUGGGGAACACUAAAUGUUCAUCUUGGGAGGGGCACAGGAGGAAAAGAAGGGGACCCACCCAGUACCCUUUCUUUUGGCUUUGGUUAUAAAUAUUGGUGUUCUCUAUUAUCUUCUGCAGGUAUGACUCCUAUUUUCAUGGUGCCCUGGGCAGAAGAACCAAGAAGAGGAGGAGAUAUACCAUACUGCAGGAGGCCAACCUUUCUCUGAUAGCUUUUACUAAGCAUCAUGACUCCACAUCCUGGAAUGGUCUACCCACAUUGAAGAAAUUCACAUGUGUAUAGCCAUAGUCAUGUAUCAUCAAAUGCAUACCGAGUAAAUGCCAGAGGACCGAGAGAUACCGUAAGGGGCCCAGCAAAAAAGCAUGCAUAACAUUGUUAUUCUGAGCAUGAGGAUAUGGUAAGAAUCCCAAGACAGAGGAAGGGUGGAAGAAGCACAAAUCAUACAGAAGAAAAGCAAGGGGCUAUGGGUGAGCUGGAGAA